rnacentral:misc_RNA from 1 species
UAACUUGUGAAAAAAAAACUGAACUUACUAUACUUGCUAAUAGUCUGGUUAUGUAGUGAUGGUGGACUAUGUACGUCAACUAAUAAUGAAAUGUUUUGAUAAAUACUCCUGAAAAAUGUUUUGUACCUUCGUAAUAAACUAAGCAUAAGUAUUUUAUAAUUUUUCUACCGUAUGCAGAUAUUUAUUGGAGGUGCGUAGCCGUCAUAUUGAAGGUUGACGUGUAAUCCAAGGUUUUAAAUAUUUAAAUAUGUUUAUCUAACCAAUGGAGUUAACAGAUAAAUAAUAAAUUCUGUUGUCAUGUUCAGCCUUAAAAAACAAUGAGUUGGUUCGAUGCCUCAGGAUUCGCCAAUUUGGCAAAGUCCGCUCUAAAAGAAGCCCAGAAGACAAUCGACAAAGCUUUGGACAUAAAAGAAGAAGAUCAACAGCAGCAAAAAGUCGCCGAGUCACCAGUAAUUGACGACUCUAAUUUUUUCGCCGCCUGGGGGAUAAAAAACGAGAGCAGUGUAGCAGCAAUCCAGCAGACUAGCAGCCUUAAACAAGACUCCAGCAUAUGGGGUAGUUUCACGGGUUCCUUUUUCGAGCCACCGAAAACAUCCGACAAGAGCAAGAGCUCCAGGUCGCUCCGCGAGGUCAGUGACCAAAGCUUAGACACUUGUUUAGUGACAUCCUCAGUGUCUCUUCCAGACAAAUUAGCGAGCGUCCAAAAUAAAUCUCCCUCCAGCUCGCAGUCUAUUGACCUCGACGCCGAGUCUACAGAAGAUGACACGGACAAGACGGCCCAGAAAAAAGACAGCAAGGAAUUUUCAACGUCAGACUCUGCUUCGAAAACUGCUUCGGACUCCGAGAUAGAGUCUCCUAAAAGUUCUGGCGAGAAACUGAUCUACAGUCGCCAUCUGGCGAACAGAGUCUCACUUUUGUCUUCUGAGAGCGAUAAAAAAAGCUCAGAGAGCGUGGAGAUCCUCGGAUCAAGAUCUGCUACUAACACAGACUGUACGACGACGCCAGACUCGGAAAUUGUUUCAGCAAGCGACUCGCCAAGUCUUAGUCGCUCGACUUUGGACUUGCAGAGGAAUUCUGAGUCCGUGGAGAUCUUACCAGACAGCUUGGUGACCAGUCCCAGCUCUGUGGAGAUUCUCGAGGACCCUUCCAAGACGGAGAGUCCAUUUUUGUCCCCAAUGGGUUACAAUAAAUCGCCAGAUGCUGCCACGACCUCUUUUGAGCCAGAAUCUGAGUCGUUGCAAAAUUCUUCAUCAGAUAUUUCGCCUUACGCGUCGCCUAUGGAAGAGUCUAAGAGUUUGAGGCUUGAAGACACUGAAGAGCUGACUCCAAUAAGCCUUCAAUCUUUCCCAGUUGGAUCUUUGGAGAAAUCCAAUUUAAUUGCUCUGGAAAAUUGUCAGACCAUUGAUGAGUCGGAUGAAAUAAGCCAGGCAGAAGACUCCUAUACCUCGGCUUCAGAGAGCACCAUGAUGACGAUUAUGGAGAAUUUUCACCAGCAACUGGACCAAACUAAGCGGCUCCAUGAUAGUUCAGAGUCUGCCAAGUCUACUUGUAUUACUUCAGCCAGUAGUCAGUUAGAGUCAAGCUUGGACUCGCUGAAAGAUGUUAAGCAGAGUCUACAUUUGCCCUUGGAGCCUAUCACUACCCAGCCGAUACGCAAGGUUGAGAGUCUGGCGGAAAAAAUUGACAUUGACUUGGUGAAGAGUGCGACGAUAGAACCUCUUAGUUCAGAAGCUGAUAAAUUGAAGAGUCAGCUUUUGCAGGAGUUUGGAGCUCCUGAUCAACUCGGGCUGACGGAUUCUAGUUGUGAAGGUACUUUGGUAGAUACUAGCUCGGAUGAAAAUUCGACGGUGAGAACGAAUAAAGAGGUCAAUUCUGAAGAAGAGGGGUCACUGACGUCUAGCUCAUAUGUUAAGAAUAUGCUCGCGGAUGCUAUGGUGGAGAAAAAUGAAAUACUCGCGGAUUUGGAAAGACAUGAUAUUUCGCAUCGAGAACAUUCACCUAUUUCUUCGGAAAGUCGCUCGGAUUUAGUUAAAAUAGGAUCGGAUCAAGCCAGUGGUCAUACGAGUGGUGAUGAACUAGAAACUACAACUUCUAGUGAUAUUGAAAUUAUUUCCAGGUACAGUCCAAAUGGCGAUUCGAGUUCAACACAAUCUCGCCAAAGUCCAGCGAAUCUCCACUCGUGUAAAAGCGGAGAUCUUUUGACAAAAACAUUGAAAAUAAGAGGUCACAGUCGUGAGCUCAGUGAAAUCAGUAUUGGAUCUGACGACGGUAUUAACGAAAUAGACAAACUAAGAAAACGUGUUCAAGAAUUAGUAGAGAUAUUAGAAGUAAGAGAGUCCAAAUUAAUCGACGUGAGUCGAAUGAAUAUGGAUUUACACGAGCAAAAUAACCAUUUGAAAUUGCAAGUAGAUAAUUGGGAGAAGCGAGCGCAGCAAAAUCAAGAUGUAAAUUUGAUAGCUGAUGAGUAUACGCAACGCAUGUCAGUAUUGGAGAAAAAGUUUCAGCAGACUAUCAGAGAGCGUGAUUUGCUGAAAGACCAGGUUGAGAGUUUGAAGAAAGAAUUAUCAGACCAAUCUUCUUCGCUGAAUGCUGAGAAAGACGAGAUUAUAAAACAGCUGAGAGAGGAGGGAGAGAAGCUGAGUAAACAGCAGUUACAGCACUCGAAUAUUAUUAAAAAAUUGCGAGCCAAAGAAAAGGAAACAGAAGCUACUUUGAAGAGCCAGAAGGAACAGUUGGAGGAGCAGAGCUCGGAAUUAGACCGACUGAAAAGGUCGCUUAAUGCCAAGGAGGAGGUGGAGAGGAGUCAAAUAGAAGCUGUUCACACGCUUACUGCUAAAGUUAAGAAACAGGAGAAGGAAAUUUUGUCGCUGCAAGAGAAGUUGGAUAAUACGACGCAUAAGAUGAAUGCUUACAAAACGAGUCUCGACGCGGCAAAAGUUGAAUUGGCUGAGACUAAAUUGAAUUUCAAUGCCGCUGAGGAGGAGUUGAAGCAAGUGUUUGAGAGCGCUGGGGAGUCGUGUCGGCUGUCGGCUCAGGUUCAAGAUUUGAAAGUUAAAUUGCGUCAAGAGGAAGAAAGCCACGUUAAGAAAAUCGAGGGAUUGAAACAGGAGAACAACGACCUGUUGAAGCGUCUCGAGGCAGCUGAAGCGAGGAGCGAAGAGCUUUCAGAAUCGGUUUCGCUUGCCACAAAACCUCUUCUUCGACAGCUUGAACAACUACAAGCCAAUCUGACGUAUAAAUCUAAUAGUUUCAUGAAACAGGAGAAGAUACUGUCAGACACGAUUGAUGAAUUGCAAACAAAGUUAGACAAUAUGGUUGCGGCUGAUCGAUCACACGUCGAGGAAAAUAUUAAUCUGAAGUCCAGAAUUGCCUUGCUGGAGUCUCAGAUAAAAAGAGCUGAGGCUGAGAGGCUGAAAUUGGAGGAGUUGUGCGAGGAAACAAAAUUAGAAAAUAGCAAACUUGUUGGGGAUGUAGAAAAAUUGAUGAUGAAGAUUACAAAUAUUGAAAAGUCGCAUGGGGAAGAGGUGAAAGAAUUUAAACGCGAGAUUGAGUCGCUUAAAGAUAAAUUGUCGAUGGAGAAGGCUGCUAAUGAUGCUGAGAAAAGGAAGACUAGCAAUGUGUUGGAGCACCAGCAGAGUAUGGGUGAAGAAUCACGCGUUAGUCCGACUUCUAGUGUCAGGAGAGACUCUAUUAGCAGUACUAACAGCGUCUGGUUGGCUUUCAAUGAUUCGAUAUUCGAUACAAGCUCUGGACGGUUUCCAAAUGUAUACGACGGGCUGAGAACUAGUACAAACACAACAUCGACCAUUGAAACUUUGCAGGCACAGUUGAAAGCUCGGGAAGGUGAAAUACAAACACUGCAAUGGGAAAUGUCACGUAAAAAUAAUGAACGCGAUGCGCUAAAUAUGGAACUAUCCAAUUUGUCGAUGAAAGUUGAGGAAUUGUCGGCUAAAUUGGUCCAGGUUGAGGCGCUCAAUGCUAAUCUCAGUGAAAUACAAACUAGGUACGAUGCUUUGCUUCAGAUGUACGGAGAAAAAGUUGAAGAGACUCAGGAACUUCAGCUGGAUCUUGAGGACGUUAAAGAGAUGUAUAAAAGCCAAAUUGAUCAGCUUUUGAGAAAAGAGUCUUAGGCUCGAUUUUAAUUAUUAUUAUUAUUACGGACAUUCCACAUUUAUUAUCGUGGUUAGAGUGCAAUAUGCCGUCGCAGGCCGGCUGCAAGUAUUCAAGGAUUUUUAAUAUUUUAAAUGUGUGUUAUUAUUUCAGAUGUAUUUUUUUUUUAAUUAUUAUUAAGUAUUCAAGCUGGUAAGCAUUUUUGGAGACUGAAAAAUAUGAAAAUAUUGGCUAAGAUUAGGAGGUCAGUCUUACAUAAAUUAGAUUUGUAAAUAUAUAUGUUUCUAAAUACUAACAACUUAUUAUAAUUACUCUCUAACUAUAAUUAAUUCAUUGUUAAUAUUAUUACUAUUAAUAAAAAGUUAGGAAUGUAAAUAUGGUGAUAAUCAAGUCAUGUAAAUUAUAGAUAAUUUUAUUCAUCAUUCGAGCGAUUCA